rnacentral:RNase_P_RNA from 1 species
CGAGCCGAUCGGGUGGACGCGGCGCGGCGAACCUCCGCAGCCAUGCGGCAGGCGCGGCGCCGAGGAAAGUCCGGACUCCACAGGGCGCGGUGGUUGCUAACGGCAACCCGGGGCGACCCGCGGGAAAGUGCAACAGAAAGUAGACCGCCCGCGCGCAGGCGCGGGUAAGGGUGAAAGGGUGCGGUAAGAGCGCACCGGCGGGGCAGGUGACUGCCCCGGCCAGGUAAACCCCACCGGGAGCAAGGCAACGAGGCGCACCACCGCGUGCGCCGGGAGCGGAUGCAUGAGGGCUGCCCGCCCGAGUCCGCAGGUAGCUGCUUGAGGCGGUCAGCGAUGGCCGACCCAGAUGGAUGUUCACCGCCUCCCCCGCGUGGAGCGGGGGAGGGACAGAAUCCGGCUCAUAGAUCGACUCGUUCG